rnacentral:rRNA from 1 species
GAUGAACGCUGGCGGCGUGCCUAAUACAUGCAAGUCGAACGCUGGAAAUCUAGCUUGCUAGAUUGAAGGAGUGGCGAACGGGUGAGUAAUACAUAAGCAACCUACCCACGAAGACUGGGAUAAUCUCUGGAAACGGGGACUAAUACCGGAUAGGUAAUCGGAAGGCAUCUUCUGAUUAUUAAAGGUUAAAAACACUGGUGGAUGGGCUUAUGGCGCAUUAGUUAGUUGGUGAGGUAACGGCCCACCAAGACGAUGAUGCGUAGCCGGCCUGAGAGGGUGAACGGGCAUAUUGGGGCUGGGACACGGCCCAGCAUCCUACGGGAGGAAGAAGGGGGGAAUGUUCGGCAAGGGGGGGACCCUUAACCGGGCAACGCCGGGGGAGUGAUGGCGGCCUUCGGGUUUAAAAGCUCUGUUGAAAGGGAAGAAGGUUAGAUAGAAAAUAUCAAAAUGACGGUUCCUUACCAAAAAGCCACGGCUAACCACGG